UACGGAGGGUGCAAGCGUUAUCCGGAUUCACUGGGUUUAAAGGGAGCGCAGGCGGAUUGGUAAGUCAGUGGUGAAAGGCUUGAGCUUAACUCGGGAACUGCCAUUGAUACUAUCAGUCUUGAAUAUUGUUGAGGUUUGCGGAAUGGGUCAUGUAGCGGUGAAAUGCAUAGAUAUGACCCGGAACACCUAUUGCGAAGGCAGCAGGCUAAACAAAGCUUGACGCUGAGGCUCGAAAGCGUGGGGAUCAAACAGG
rnacentral:rRNA from 1 species